rnacentral:rRNA from 1 species
UACAGAGGGUGCGAGCGUUGUCCGGAAUCACUGGGCGUAAAGCGCGCGCAGGCGGCCUUUUAAGUCUGACGGUGAAAUGCCGGGGCUCAACCCCGUGCCCGCCGCGGAUACUGGGAGGCUGGAGACACGUAGAGGCAAGCGGAAUUCCGGGUGUAGCGGUGAAAUGCGUAGAUAUCCGGAGGAACACCGGUGGCGAAGGCGGCUUCCUGGACCGACACUGACGCUGAGGCGCGAAAGCUAGGGGAGCAAACGGG